CCCUUAGAUGUCCUGGGCCGCACGCGUGCUACACUGACGCCUACAGCGAGUACUUCCCAGCCCCGAGAGGUGGCUGGCAAUCAGCAAUAGGCGUCGUGAUGGGGAUAGAUCUUUGGAAUUAUGGAUCUUGAACGAGGAAUGCCUAGUAAGCGCAGGUCAUUAGCCUGCGCUGAUUAAGUCCCUGCCCUUUGUACACACCGCCCGUCGCUCCUACCGAUUUCGAGUGGUCCGGUGAAUCUUUCGGACUGCGCGCGGCCUCGUGCCGUGUCGCGGAAAGUCAGGUAAACCUUAUCACUUAGAGGAAGGAGAAGUCGUAACA
rnacentral:rRNA from 1 species